rnacentral:lncRNA from 1 species
GGGGGGCACGGGGACACCGUUCGGGCCAUGCCUGAGGGUGUCCCUCCCCCCCUGUUUUUAUGGUGUCCCCCCCCCCAGCUCCCCGCACCUGGUGCAGGUGCGCGAGCGGAUCCGCAUCAACGGGCAGCCGCUCAGCAAGGAGCUCUUCAGCAAGUACUUCUGGCUGGUCUACAACCGCCUGGAGGAGACCAAGGACCCGGCGCAGGCCAGCAUGCCGGCGUAUUUCCGCUUCCUCACCAUCAUGGCCUUCCACGUCUUCCUGCAGGAGAAGGUGGACCUGGCGGUGCUGGAGGUGGGCAUCGGCGGCGCCUACGACUGCACCAACAUCAUCAGGACACCCGUGGUGUGCGGCGUCUCCUCGCUGGGCAUCGACCACACCAGCAUCCUGGGGGACACCAUGGAGAAGAUCGCCUGGCAGAAGGGGGGCAUUUUUAAGCCCGGCGUGCCGGCGUUCACUGUGCCGCAGCCCGAGCGGCCGCUGGAGGUGCUGCGGGAGCGAGCCCGGGAGCGCGGGGUGAGCUCGGGGA